UCUGAUUGUAAAGAAUCUGCUUGCAAUGCAGAAGACCCAGGUUCAAUCCCUGG
rnacentral:tRNA from 1 species